rnacentral:rRNA from 1 species
AUUCCAGCUCCAAUAGCGUAUAUUAAAAUUGCUGCAGUUAAAAAGCUCGUAGUUGGAUCUUGGGCGCAGGCUGGCGGUCCGCCGCAAGGCGCGCCACUGCCCGCCUGGCCUUCCUCUCGGUCUCCGCCCGGUUCUCUUGACUGAGUGCCGGGCGCGGCCGAAACGUUUACUUUGAAAAAAUUGGAGUGUUCAAAGCAGGCCGUGAGCCUGGACAGCAGAGCAUGGAAUAAUGGAAUAGGACCUCGGUUCUAUUGCGUUGGUUUUCGGAACUCGAGGUAAUGACUAAGAGGGACUGACGGGGGCAUUCGUAUUGCGGUGUGAGAGGUGAAAUUCUUGGAUCGCCGCAAGACGACCGACUGCGAAAGCAUUUGCCAAGAAUGUUUUCAUUG